rnacentral:rRNA from 1 species
AGGUAAGCUACUAAGAGCGAAUGGUGGAUGCCUUGACUGGUAAAGGCGAUGAAGGACGUACUAGACUGCGAUAAGCUACGGGGAGCUGUCAAGAAGCUUUGAUCCGUAGAUUUCCGAAUGGGGCAACCCAAUGUAUAGAGAUAUACAUUACCUAUAUAGGAGCGAACGAGGGGAAUUGAAACAUCUUAGUACCCUCAGGAAAAGAAAUCAAUAGAGAUUGCGUCAGUAGCGGCGAGCGAAAGCGCAAGAGGGCAAACCCAGUGCUUGCACUGGGGGUUGUAGGACUGCAAUGUGCAAGAGGUAAGUUUAGCAGAACAUUCUGGAAAGUAUAACCAUAGAGGGUGAUAGUCCCGUAUGCGAAAAACAAACCUUAGCUAGCAGUAUCCUGAGUAGGGCGGGACACGAGGAAUCCUGUCUGAAUCCGGGUCGACCACGAUCCAACCCUAAAUACUAAUACCAGAUCGAUAGUGCACAAGUACCGUGAGGGAAAGGUGAAAAGAACUGAGGUGAUCAGAGUGAAAUAGAACCUGAAACCAUUUGCUUACAAUCAUUCAGAGCCCUAUGUAGCAAUACAGGGUGAUGGACUGCCUUUUGCAUAAUGAGCCUGCGAGUUGUGGUGUCUGGCAAGGUUAAGCAAACGCGAAGCCGUAGCGAAAGCGAGUCUGAAUAGGGCGCUUAGUCAGAUGCUGCAGACCCGAAACGAAGUGAUCUAUCCAUGAGCAAGUUGAAGCUAGUGUAAGAACUAGUGGAGGACUGAACCCAUAGGCGUUGAAAAGCCCCGGGAUGACUUGUGGAUAGGGGUGAAAGGCCAAUCAAACUUCGUGAUAGCUGGUUCUCUCCGAAAUAUAUUUAGGUAUAGCGUUGUGUCGUAAUAUAAGGGGGUAGAGCACUGAAUGGGCUAGGGCAUACACCAAUGUACCAAACCCUAUCAAACUCCGAAUACCUUAUAUGUAAUCACAGCAGUCAGGCGGCGAGUGAUAAAAUCCGUCGUCAAGAGGGAAACAACCCAGACUACCAGCUAAGGUCCCUAAAUCUUACUUAAGUGGAAAACGAUGUGAAGUUACUUAAACAACCAGGAGGUUGGCUUAGAAGCAGCCAUCCUUUAAAGAAAGCGUAAUAGCUCACUGGUCUAGUGAUUUUGCGCGGAAAAUAUAACGGGGCUAAAGUAAGUACCGAAGCUGUAGACUUAGUUUACUAAGUGGUAGGAGAGCGUUCUAUUUGCGUCGAAGGUAUACCGGUAAGGAGUGCUGGAGCGAAUAGAAGUGAGCAUGCAGGCAUGAGUAGCGAUAAUUAAUGUGAGAAUCAUUAACGCCGUAAACCCAAGGUUUCCUACGCGAUGCUCGUCAUCGUAGGGUUAGUCGGGUCCUAAGUCGAGUCCGAAAGGGGUAGACGAUGGCAAAUUGGUUAAUAUUCCAAUACCAACAUUAGUGUGCGAUGGAAGGACGCUUAGGGCUAAGGGGGCUAGCGGAUGGAAGUGCUAGUCUAAGGUCGUAGGAGGUUAUACAGGCAAAUCCGUAUAACAAUACUCCGAGAACUGAAAGGCUUUUUGAAGUCUUCGGAUGGAUAGAAGAACCCCUGAUGCCGUCGAGCCAAGAAAAGUUUCUAAGUUUAGCUAAUGUUGCCCGUACCGUAAACCGACACAGGUGGGUGGGAUGAGUAUUCUAAGGCGCGUGGAAGAACUCUCUUUAAGGAACUCUGCAAAAUAGCACCGUAUCUUCGGUAUAAGGUGUGGUUAGCUUUGUAUUAGGAUUUACUCCGAAAGCAAGGAAACUUACAACAAAGAGUCCCUCCCGACUGUUUACCAAA